rnacentral:rRNA from 1 species
UGCCAGCCGCCGCGGUAAUACGGAGGGUGCAAGCGUUAAUCGGAAUUACUGGGCGUAAAGGGUUCGUAGGCGGCCACUUAAGUCAGGGGUGAAAUCCCACGGCCCAACCGUGGAACGGCCUCUGAUACUGAGUGGCUUGAGUGUGCUAGGGGUAAGCGGAACGUGUAGUGUAGCGGUGAAAUGCGUAGAUAUUACACGGAAGGCCGGAGGCGAAGGCGGCUUACUGGGGCACAACUGACGCUGAGGAACGAAAGCUAGGGUAGCGAACGGGAUUAGAUA